rnacentral:rRNA from 1 species
AUGGACGUUCAUCUUCUUCCCGGCGUGCAGAUCCUUCUCCAGGAAGAAGAGCGCGGCGCUGGGGUCGUCGUGCAUCUGCGUCUCCGUUGCGGCGUAGUUGUACAUGAAAGGCGAGACGUUGACGUGGACAGGCUUACCCCGGGGUUUGCCGCCUGGCUUGCCGUAGCCAGGCUUGACGUUGACGCCGACGCCGCCCUUCCCGACGCCGACCGUGGUGCCGCCUGGCUUACCGUAGCCAGGCUUGACGUUGACUCCGACGCCGCCCUUCCCGACGCCGACGGUGGUGCCGGUGCCACCAGGCUUGCCGUAUGCAGGCUUCACGUUCACGCCGACGCCUCCCUUCCCUACUCCAACCGUGGUGCCACCGGGCUUGCCGUAGCCAGGCUUGACAUUGACGCCCACGCCACCCUUGCCAACGCCGACCGUCGUGCCGCUGGGCUUGCCGCUGCCAGGUUUGACGUUGACGUCAACGCCGCCCUUGCCAACGCCCACGGUUGUGCCCCCGGGCUUGCCGUAGCCAGGCUUGACGUUGACACCCACGCCGCCCUUGCCGACGCCGACCGUAGUCCUGCCGGGCUUGGCGCUGCCAGGCUUGACGUUGACGCCGACGCCACCCUUGCCAACAUCGACCGUCGUGCCGCCGGGCAUCCCAUGACCCGCGUCGACAUGGACACCGCCUGA